CUUGUGCCAGCCGCCGCGGUAAUACGAAGGGGGCUAGCGUUGUUCGGAUUUACUGGGCGUAAAGCGCACGUAGGCGGACUAUUAAGUCAGGGGUGAAAUCCCGGGGCUCAACCCCGGAACUGCCUUUGAUACUGGUAGUCUCGAGUCCGGAAGAGGUGAGUGGAAUUCCGAGUGUAGAGGUGAAAUUCGUAGAUAUUCGGAGGAACACCAGUGGCGAAGGCGGCUCACUGGUCCGGUACUGACGCUGAGGUGCGAAAGCGUGGGGAGCAAACAGGAUUAGA
rnacentral:rRNA from 1 species